UACAGAGGUCUCAAGCGUUGUUCGGAUUUAUUGGGCGUAAAGGGUGCGUAGGCGGCUCGGUAAGUCGGGUGUGAAAUCUCGGAGCUUAACUCCGAAACUGCAUUCGAUACUGCCGUGCUUGAGGACUGGAGAGGAGACUGGAAUUUACGGUGUAGCGGUGAAAUGCGUAGAUAUCGUAAGGAAGACCAGUGGCGAAGGCGGGUCUCUGGACAGUUCCUGACGCUGAGGCACGAAGGUCAGGGGAGCAAACGGG
rnacentral:rRNA from 1 species